rnacentral:rRNA from 1 species
AUUCACUAGUGAUUCAGCCGCCGCGGUAAUACGGAGGGUGCAAGCGUUAAUCGGAAUUACUGGGCGUAAAGCGCACGCAGGCGGUUUGUUAAGUCAGAUGUGAAAUCCCCGAGCUUAACUUGGGAACUGCAUUUGAAACUGGCAAGCUAGAGUCUUGUAGAGGGGGGUAGAAUUCCAGGUGUAGCGGUGAAAUGCGUAGAGAUCUGGAGGAAUACCGGUGGCGAAGGCGGCCCCCUGGACAAAGACUGACGCUCAGGUGCGAAAGCGUGGGGAGCAAACAGGAUUAGAUACCCUGGUAGUCCACGCUGUAAACGAUGUCGACUUGGAGGUUGUGCCCUUGAGGCGUGGCUUCCGGAGCUAACGCGUUAAGUCGACCGCCUGGGGAGUACG